GACGAACGCUGGCGGCGUGCUUAACACAUGCAAGUCGAACGGAAAGGCCCUGCUUGCAGGGUGCUCGAGUGGCGAACGGGUGAGUAACACGUGGGUGAUCUGCCCCUUACUUUGGGAUAAGCCUGGGAAACUGGGUCUAAUACUGGAUAGGACCAUGCUGUAGGUGGUGUGGUGGAAAGAUUAGUUUCGGUAGGGGAUGAGCUCGCGGCCUAUCAGCUUGUUGGUGGGGUAAUGGCCUACCAAGGCGUCGACGGGUAGCCGGCCGGGGAGGGUGGCCGGCCUUGGGGGUGCUGCGCGACCGCCCAGCCCCCGAGGGGAGGCAGAGGGGAGGAUUAUAGCAGAGGGGGCGGCAGCCUGAUGCAGCGCCGCGGGGGGCGGGAGGCCUGCCGUUGUGUAGUCUCCUUCCUCCGCCGGCGACGCCGUUUGGGUGACGGUAAUGGGAAAAGAAGCACCGGCUAACUACGUG
rnacentral:rRNA from 1 species